GACGAACGCUGGCGGCGUGCUUAACACAUGCAAGUCGAACGAAGUGGCGAAAGGGUGAGUAACGCGUAAUCAACCUGCCCUUCAGAGGGGGAUAAAAGGUGGAAACGACUGCUAAUACCGCAUACUGAAGGAGGGGAUUGCGUCUGAUUAGCUAGUUGGAGGGGGAACGGCCCACCAAGGCAAUGAUCAGUAGCCGGUCUGAGAGGAUGAACGGCCACAUUGGGACUGGGACACGGCCCCGACUCCUACGGUGGGCAGCAGUGGGGAAUUUUCCGCAAUGGACGAAAGUCUGACGGAGCAACGCCGCGUGAGUGAUGACGGCCUUCGGGUUGUUAAGCUCUGUUAAUCAGGACGCGGUACCGGAAUAGAAAGCCACGGCUGACUACGUGCCAGCAGCCGCGGUAAUUC
rnacentral:rRNA from 1 species